GAAACAAGUAAAUUCCAAGUAUACAUAAUAAAAAAUGCAGCAUAUAGUUAAGUACACAAAAUGGAAAAAAGAGAACAGCCAAGUGCACCGUCCAUUCUGUGAAAAAAAUGUGUUUUGCUGUCACCGUAUAGAGAUGGGUUUACCUGGACAGAAUAAUAGACAGAGAAUUUAGCAUCAUUCUAUAAAUUCAUUACAUUUGCACAGGCGACUUGAAACCUACCAUCCAUCCAGCGACCACAGAAUUAAAUUCAGGAUUGUUAUCAUUUGCUACCGAUAUUUUUUAUGCGCUUAGCUGGUCCUUUCUAUUCAAAUCUGGGAAGCUAUACACAUCAAAUGUCUCCAUAGCACCAGUAAGAACAGAUUUUAUAUCUGUGUUUGAAUAAUAUUGAGCAACCUGUCGAAAUAACAUAAGUGCAAUAGUAAAUAAAAUAGUUCUAGAGUGAUUGCUUAUUAUACAUGUACAAGAAACUGGCACCGCAGUUUAAUGGGAUUUAUUAGAGCAAUAUUUGGAAUCUGUACUUGCAAAUAGAAUUAAGUUAUAAAAUCAUCGUGAAGUCGCCAAGACAUGUUAGGCUCAUGCAUUGGCAGAUCGUCAUACACAACACCCGGGCAUUUCUUGAUACCCCACUCGAUUUUUGCAGCCUUUGUAUUGUGAUUAAAUGGAUACACAUGUUUCUUUCUCCUCCCAACGAUGACUUCUUUUUCCUUGAGCUCACUCCUCACCCCUACCGAGGCAACCCCCUCUCCAUGCCACUUCCAUCAUUAUUGCCACCCUGCCCAACCAUCGUCCUCCAUUGCACUAGCC
rnacentral:lncRNA from 1 species